rnacentral:rRNA from 1 species
UACGUAGGGGGCUAGCGUUGUCCGGAAUCAUUGGGCGUAAAGCGCGCGUAGGCGGCCCGGUAAGUCCGCUGUAAAAGCAAAGGCUCAACCUUUGAAUGUCAGUGGAUACUGCCGGGCUAGAGUCCGGAAGAGGAGAGUGGAAUUCCCGGUGUAGCGGUGAAAUGCGCAGAUAUCGGGAAGAACACCCGUGGCGAAGGCGGCUCUCUGGGACGGUACUGACGCUGAGACGCGAAAGCGUGGGGAGCGAACAGG